UACAUGGGGUGCAAACGUUGCUCGGAAUUAUUGGGCGUAAAGCGCGCGUAGGCGGUUACUUAAGUCGGAUGUGAAAGCCCUCGUCUUAACUGAGGAAGUGCACCCGAAACUGAGUAGCUAGAGUACGAAAGAGGGUCGCGGAAUUCCCGGUGUAGAGGUGAAAUUCGUAGAUAUCGGGAGGAACACCGGUGGCGAAGGCGGCGACCUGGGUCGAGACUGACGCUGAACGGCGAAAGCUAGGGGAGCAAACAGG
rnacentral:rRNA from 1 species